GUGGAUUAGAUACCCGAGUAGUCCACGCUGUAAACGAUGAAUGCUAGGUGUAGGGGCGCAAGCUUCUGUGCCGCAGCUAACGCAAUAAGCAUUCCACCUGGGGAGUACGGCCGCAAGGUUGAAACUCAAAGGAAUUGACGGGAGCCCGCACAAGCAGUGGAGUAUGUGGUUUAAUUCGACGCAACGCGAAGAACCUUACCAGGACUUGACAUCCCGGGAACCCGGCGUAAUGGCUGGGGUGCCCUUCGGGGAAUCCGGUGACAGGUGGUGCACGGCCGUCGUCAACU
rnacentral:rRNA from 1 species